rnacentral:lncRNA from 1 species
AGCGAUGAUGAAUAGGAAAUGUUCUCUAUUUCUCACCAUGUCUUUGCAUUUGUAGCUUCUGUCUUCAGAGUCCACCUACACAGUGCUUCAAAAACAUUACAGUUUGGGGCUCUUAAAGAACUGGCUUGCUGAUUCGAGUGCAACCUAUCGCUGGCUCAGUCUCCAUGGAAUGGGCAAUGUAGCUCAUCAUCUGCAAAGUAAGAAAGAAUUCACUACCCUAAUCCUCAGUAUCCUCCCAAGUUUUGAUGACUCUGAUGAGAAGGUGGCCUUGACAGCGAUGGAGGUCAUAACGAAGGUCAUGGUGCAACAGAAGAUCAAUGUCAACUUAUAUGUGAAAAUUACCAAGCAGCUUCAGCCAUUCCUGGCCGAUGGGAGGAACAAAGUAAGCUGUGCUGCAAAUAAAUUGUUUCAAGACAUACUUAAGAACAUAGAUGCAAAAGACAAGUAUGCUAUGCAAGACCAGGUUCUCACUGCUAUUGUUACACUGAUGGUGAAUCUGCAAGAACUAAAUCUGGAUGUAGCCAAGAGUCGUAUGGACAGCUUGCAUGAAUGCAAAGUCUUUCAGGGAUGGACAACAAAUGAUAACGAAGACUCUUGGGACAUGGUUUGCAAGCACCUUGUAAGGCCAUUCAAGCCCUGUGCUCCUCUUCAUGCUAUCUGCUAA